rnacentral:rRNA from 1 species
GUUGAAAGAGCCGAUGGAGGACGGAAUUCGCCU